rnacentral:lncRNA from 1 species
CACUGUGACCCAUCUGAUGGGGCAAGAAGUUGCCAAGAGGGGAAGAUCAUCAAGGGACAGAAGCCCCUGUGCUUCAUUAACUGCCCCAGACAAUGUUGUUGCCCUCCUCCAACUUCAGCAGCUGAAGUGUAGAGGGUACGUCACCUGGACCACCACAUCACCACAGCUUUGCCCAUGCAAUACAUACACAUGCACAUCUAUCUUUGGCCAUGUUUGUUUGACAUACGGUACAUACUAGCACCUGGACUGUACUCAGUCAGCCUAAGUCAUGAGAUUUUAUCAUUCUAUCAUCCAUUGCGCUGAGUUGAACAUGGGUGGAUUGACUUCAUCUCCUCCCUGCAGGCUGCCCAACCUGGGGCUGACCUGCUACCUGAACGCCACACUGCAGUGUCUGCUCCACCUGCAGCCUUUCUGCACUCAGCUGCUGGUGCAGGAGGAGGUGUGGAGGAUGGAGCCGGAGGCACUGCUGCUCAGGUAGGAACAGCUCUCUCUCUCUCUUUCUUUCUUUCUCCAUUUCUUUCUCUCUCUCUCGCACAGGCACACACACAAUCACACAUUCAUCAUUCAGACUGCUCCACGUCUGGCUCAAAAACUGACUUUGUGAAAAAGACCUAAAAACAUGAUAGUGAGUAGGAUUAAAAAUGACUCUAACUUCCUCUCUGUCCUUUGCUUACCUUACCUAUCUCUCUUCACUCUUUCCUCUUUUUUCACCCACCCCCCUUUUCUAUCCCUAUUUCUCUCUCUCUUUUCACCUCUGUGUCUAUCUUCUUUCUCUAGUUCAUUUGUAGGACUGUUGCUCCUCAGAGGGUCCUGUGAAAUGGAUGUAAAGGCAGCUGUACUACUGGAGUUCAAGGACCAAAUCUCCCUGCACAACCAGGAGUUUCAGGGGAACUCACAGAACGACGCCCAUGAGUUCCUCUCAGAGUGUCUGAUGCGGCUAAGGGUCAUCGGCCAGGCACUGGCCAUGGGCGACAUGGCCUACCAGUGCCCAGUGGACACUCUGUUAUCCUUCCAGCUCCGGUAUAUAAGAACUUGCCAGAGGUCAGUGCUGCUUAUAAAGAACGAGCUGACGCAUAAAUACAAGUUCCCAGAGAAUUGAGUUCCUCAGUGAUACUUUGCUCAUCUUUUCUGCUCUGUGUGUGUGUGUGUGUGUGUGUGUGUGUGUGUGUGUGUGUGUGUGUGUGUGUGUGUGUGUGUUGAGCAGCUGUGGAGUUGAGAGCACGAGGGAUGAGGUUAACACCAUGCUCUCCCUCGACCUGGUCGGACAGGGAUCAGUGAGAGACAGCCUCCAGCUCUUUUUCACUGUAAGUAUUACCAACACACAUAUUAUUACAUUACACACAUUACACACACACUCGUCUUACAAACAAACAAACACACACCUCACACUUGUUUUUUAUAUCCACAGGAAUCAAAUGUGGAGUUCCGGUGUGAGUGCUGUGAGGGUCGGGGGUCAACCUUGAGGUGUAAUUUCCACACUCUCCCUCAGUGAGUCUUAAACCUUCACUGUGUCACUCCCUUAU